rnacentral:rRNA from 1 species
UACGGGGGGGGCAAGCGUUGUUCGGAAUUACUGGGCGUAAAGGGCUCGUAGGCGGCCAACUAAGUCAUACGUGAAAUCCCUCGGCUUAACCGGGGAACUGCGUCUGAUACUGGACGGCUUGAGAUUGGGAGAGGGAUGCGGAAUUCCAGGUGUAGCGGUGAAAUGCGUAGAGAUCCGGAAGAACACCGGUGGCGAAGGCGGUCUGCUGGGGUAAUGCUGACACUGAUGCGCGACAGCGUGGGGAGCAAACAGG